ensembl:lncRNA
GGGCUCUGCCACCCCUCUGUCAGAACCAGCAAGAACACCAGGCCCCCUUUGCACCCCUGCCCACUAAGGUCCCCAAGGCCGCCGGCUUGGGCCUCCUGCCUCCUGGGAAUCAGGGAGAGAGGGGCCCGGCCCUCCUGCUGGUGGCCUCUGUCAUGCAGGGACGGGGCAGAGGGGCGGCAGCUGGGGUCCCCCGGGUUCUGCCUGUGUGCCUGGUCGGGGGUCCCCGCCUCGAGGGAACCUCGGUGCCCUGCCAUAUUCCCCCUCUACCCUACGCCUCCACACGGCUGUCAGGACACCCUGGGGCAGGCGGGCAGCCCCCUCCUCACUUUCCCGACCACACACAGAUGUCUGGGGGGCUGGGAGCUUUUGGGGAGCCGGGUAGGCGGCCCCCUGAGCCGCAGCGUCUGGGCCGCGCCUGCAGGACCUGGGUGCAGCCCACAGCCUGGCUUCGCUAUUUCGCGUCUGCGGGCUCGGCUUGGCCGGAGCACAAAGGAGACUUUCUCGCUGUGCCCUGGCUCCUGCUCUGUUCUCCCCUCCACCCUGCGGCUUGGAUGGCCCAAGACACGCGUGGCUCCAGGGCGGCCGUCACCCGGCUCCCCUGCCCGGCCGAGCCAUGGAGGGUGUGAGGACCGGGGUAGCUCGGGCCCCCCCAGGGUUUGGAGAAAAGGCCCUGCCAGCAGCUCCUCUCACCCCAGCCCCUGCCCUCCUUCCCUGAGCACUGAGUGCUGCUGGAAACCGGCUCCAUCUGAGGCUCCUAAGGGCUUAUUCCCCAACCAGGACCCCCACAGGCACUGGGACCCUCUCCUCCAAGACACACCACCCUUUGCAAGAGCCAGCAGCGCUGACCCCAGGCCUGCGGACAUGCCCACAGGCACUGACCACUGCUGGCAGCCCAGACCUCGGACCAGCCUGCCCCGCUCUGAGCUCCUGCAGCCCCUCUCGCGGCUGCCCGAACCCGGAGCCCUCCCCACCCUGAGCCGGACACACUCUGGAUCCUGCACCCCAGCCCCACAGGGAGGUCAGCCGCUGCCAGGUCAGCCAGGCUCCCCCCACCCCCAUGCCCCGGCACGUCCCGCUGGGCAGACACGGCCCUCCUGGCUGCCACGGCCCUUGGAGGAUCUCCAGGCCCUUCUGCCCGAACUCGGACCUCCCGCAGCUGAAAACAAGCAUCUCCAAAAACCGUACCCCACGUGGCUGACAGCCCCCUCUGGCCUCCCCUGGGCCUGCAGAGAAGAGCAAACUCAGACAGGUCCGGUCCUCGGUGGGGAAGGCCCGGGGGAGACCUCGGCCUGA